UACGUAGGGUGCAAGCGUUAAUCGGAAUUACUGGGCGUAAAGCGUGCGCAGGCGGUUUUGUAAGUCAGAUGUGAAAUCCCCGGGCUUAACCUGGGAACUGCGUUUGAAACUACAAGGCUAGAGUGUGGCAGAGGGGGGUGGAAUUCCACGUGUAGCAGUGAAAUGCGUAGAGAUGUGGAGGAACACCGGAUGGCGAAGGCAGCCCCCUGGGUUAACACUGACGCUCAAGGCACGGAAAGCGUGGGGAGCAAACAGG
rnacentral:rRNA from 1 species